rnacentral:tRNA from 1 species
GGAAUGUAGUUCAAGUGGUAGAGCACUUGCCCAGCAUGCACGAGGCCCUGGGUUCCAUCCCCAGCACCA